rnacentral:lncRNA from 1 species
UUAACAGAUGAACGUUUGUAAUGGAUUUUGAUGGGUAUGCAGAAGUUGGCUAGUCAAUACCUGAAGAGAGAUUGGCCUGGAGUAAAAGCUGAUGAUCGGAAUGAUUACAGGAGCAUGUAUCCCGUUUGGAAAUCUUUUCUCGAGGGAACAAUGCAGGUAGCCCAGUCUCGGAUGAAUAUAUGUGAAAACUAUAAAAACUUCAUUUCUGAGCCUGCAAGGACAGUGAGAAGCUUAAAAGAACAGCAACUAAAAAGGUGUGUGGACCAGUUGACAAAGAUCCAAACUGAAUUACAAGAGACAGUGAAAGAUUUAGCUAAAGGCAAAAAGAAAUACUUUGAGACUGAACAGAUGGCUCAUGCAGUACGAGAGAAAGCUGACAUCGAGGCAAAAUCUAAACUUAGUCUUUUUCAAUCAAGAAUCAGUUUACAGAAGGCAAGUGUAAAGGUAAG